rnacentral:rRNA from 1 species
CCUACGGGAGGCUGCAGUGGGGAAUAUUGGACAAUGGGCGAAAGCCUGAUCCAGCAAUGCCGCGUGAGUGAUGAAGGCCUUAGGGUUGUAAAGCUCUUUUACCCGGGAUGAUAAUGACAGUACCGGGAGAAUAAGCUCCGGCUAACUCCGUGCCAGCAGCCGCGGUAAUACGGAGGGAGCUAGCGUUGUUCGGAAUUACUGGGCGUAAAGCGCACGUAGGCGGCUUUGCAAGUUAGAGGUGAAAGCCUGGGGCUCAACUCCAGAAUUGCCUUUAAAACUGCAUCGCUUGAAUCCGGGAGAGGUGAGUGGAAUUCCGAGUGUAGAGGUGAAAUUCGUAGAUAUUCGGAAGAACACCAGUGGCGAAGGCGGCUCACUGGACCGGUAUUGACGCUGAGGUGCGAAAGCGUGGGGAGCAAACAGGAUUAGAUACCCCAGUAGUC